UCUGAAAUUGAUGAUAUCAAACACAAAUUAAAAUCAGAAUUUGAUAUGAAGGAUCUUGGUUCCACUAAGAAAAUACUUGGUGUGCAUAAUAUAAGAGAUGAAUAAUCUGAUUGCUCGUUUUUAUGUCAAGAAGAGUAUGAAAAUAAGAUCCUCAAGAAGUUUAAUAUGUUUGAUUGUAAAAUUGUGACUUUACCCCUUGCCAAUCACUUUAUUUUAACAUCUGAUUCGUGUCCAAAAACUGAAGAUGAACUUGAAAGAAUGUCUAAAAUACCUUAUGCUAAUGCUAUUGGUUCAGUCAUGUACUUAAUGAUUUGUACUAAACCUGAUUUGGCUUUUAGUAUUAGUGUUUUGAGUAGAUUUAUGGGAAAUCCUGGUGAAACUCAUUGGGAAGCUUUGAAGUGGUUGUUGAGAUACUUAAAGGGUUCAUCUAACUUGGGUUUGAUGUUUAAAAUAGACAAAAAGGAGGUAAUUUUAAAAGGUUAUACAAAUUCUGAUUUUGCUGGAAAUAGAGACAAUAGAAAAUCAAUUUCAUCUUAUUUUUACACUUUGUGUGGUACUGUGAUAAGUUGGAAAUCUCAGUUACAAAAAAACGUUGCUCUAUCUUCCAUCGAGGCUGAAUAUAUUGCUUCCACUAAUGCCAUUAAAGAAGGCAUAUGGCUGCAUGGUUUGUUGAAUGAACUUGGUUUUGUAGACACUAAUCCAAUAUUAUAUUCUGACAAUCAAAGUGCAAUCCAUUUGAGUAAGAAUCCCAUGUUUCAUGAUAGAACAAAACAUGUUGAUGUAAAAUACCAUUUUAUAAGGGAUAUUAUUUCAAAAGGGUUGUUGAAAAUUAAUAAAAUACCUACUUUGUAUAAUCCAUCCGAUAUGGGAACUAAGG
rnacentral:lncRNA from 1 species